UAAUAGUGGAUGUCAUAGGAAACUGGUUUAAGAAGCGAGGUAGUCUCCUCUGCAGCUGAACACACAAAAGAAGCAGGGAAGGAGCUAUAGCUUGUGGCACGUUCCUAUGCCUAUUGUGGUAUGUUGGGGUGGCAUCUGAAUUGUGUGGCUUGUUUCUCUUCAGUGAUUUCAUUUUUCUAAGUCCAACAAUAGUUCCUGCUGGCUUGAGUGGUGGAGCUUUCUGAAAUAAAGGCAUCCAAAAACAAGGCAUAUCUAGAUUCCACAUUUGGAAUACAUCAUGCCAGCUGAGCUAUCUCACAGUGGCACAGAUGUACUGUUUACAAUCUAGAUUUCUACAGAUUUCCAGACCUUUGCUUUGGGGUACUAAAUGUCUCAUAUAGAGAAAAAGGAAAGAAGUGUGGAGGAUCAUGAGAGAAAGAGGAACACGAUCUUAAGUUUGGUUCAGUGAAUGCAAUGUUGGAUUGAAAUGUGGGAGAUCUGGGCUGAAAAAUAAAGUAGCUAUUGACUUGCUGCAUAGCCUUUGGCAAGUCCCUCGCCCCUUAACUUCAGCUACACAUAUACAAACAAAAAUAUGAAUUGCCUAUAUCUUUAUAAAAUAAAUUAGGUCACUUUGCUAAUGAAAGAUGCCCAAGACACCAUACAAAAAUAAGCCACCUCACAGUAGAGAUAAAAUAGAAGGGUUUGCACAAGUAACAAAGAAGCAGAAUCCUUUAUCAGCAUACAAGUCUUCAUAUGAAAGACAACACAAUUAAAGCAAUAUAUAUACACAUUUAUGGCUUUGUACAAAGGAUUAUUUUAUGUUUUUCCAAACAUCAGGCACUUCCCCCCCAACAAAUAUCCAAACGAAAUUCUGCAGCAUAGACAAUCCUCCAUGUUCUUACAAUUCACACAAACAGCAUGCAAAGUAUUUUCAUGUCAGCAGUGCUGCUUAUGUAGAAAGUGGGGGAGAGAUGCCCCUCUAUAACAAAAGUCCCAUUUUAAUGCAGAAUUACAUAUUUAUUUAUUUUUUGCUUGCAUGAAGCACAGUAUUACUUUUAGUAAUUAUAAAAUACAAAAGAAAAAUUACCUUACUUAAAAAUUAAUUUUAAAUUAACAAGCCUGAACAUUUCAUAAUGCGAACUGAAAAUAUUUUAACAAAAUAACACCAAUCCAGUUAUUGAUCAAGUGCAAACUUAAGGUUGCAAUCCUCGCACGCACCGCCAUGGAAGUAAGUCCCAGAGAAGUACCUCCAAGCAGAUUUGUGCAGAACUGUGCUGUAAGACUGUAAAAGAACUGGUCCACUUUAAUCAUCUUUUCUCCUUUACCUUAGGGGUGCUCUGUUGAACUGUCAGCAUUCAAGAAUACAUCUGAUUACCAUUUUAGUCAACUUUUGUCAGUUUAUCUAAGCCGAGGUCUCAGUAAUGCAGCUCUACCUCUGCUUUUGGCAAACUUGCUGCUGUUGUCCAUGGAUGCAGCCCUUCUCCUGGGCGACUUGCCACUUUUGCCUCCUUCUGGAUUGAGCAUCCACCAAGAGCUUUUUCCUGUUCCUUCGUUCUGUACUCUGAUAAACUUGCUGUGCAGUGAGAGGUUGUGACGAAUUGAAUUCUGGGAAAGAGAAAAAAGUUGCAAGGAAAAAGGCAGCGUGUACCAUGAAACCACCGAGUGAAGAAUAGAGAAAGAAGAAGUAAUACAGGAAGAACAUAAAGGCACAUCCUUGCAAUAUAAAAGGAAAUGCUGAAAUGAUAGCAAGGCAGCUGUACAACAAGGACAACACAUCCUGCACAACAAGCAUGGAAGCAGAUUCCCAUGAGAAAUAGGACGAAGACCUCACAGUGCCUCUAAACUGGGAGUCCAAGACCCAAGAGCAUUGAUGGCAAAAACCACAGAUUGCAUAUACCUCAGCAAAAAGCACCUGCGUUAAGCAGCAACUGUAUCCCAAAGGAACAGCCAGUGAAUACAAGAUUUAACUACCACUGAAAAAUAGCACAAGUAUCGAAGAGUCUGGGCAUCAAGCUCUUCAUCAAUAGACACUGCUGGCCAAACACUCUUGCAUGAGCAUGGUUGGAGAACAAGCUCCAUGAUGAGCUGUGAAUGCCUGCUUCAAAAAGUACUAGUGGCAAAAACCACUAGUGGAGGACUAUAUAUGCUUUUACAGGAUCAUGAUGAUCACAUCCAGCAGGUGCUCCCAUGAACAAUCCACCUGCUGGAAGUCAACCCAUCCAGGAAGAAGACUAGGCACGUGCAAACUUAAAGAGGUAGGGAAGGAUAUUGAGUCGGAGGUGUUCACUCCCAAGCAAAAGCAGUGAA